rnacentral:lncRNA from 1 species
GUCCAUUUUGGAGUAUUAUAUCUGUUCCUUUUUUAUGUCAGUUAUGUUUAAUUACAUUGUAUAUAUUUAGGUGCCUAUAGCUGUAUAAUAUUUUAAAAAUGGGAUUGUUUUUGCUUUCCCUCCAAUAUAUGGUAAUAUUUAGCAAUGCAAUUUCUUUUCCUGAUUAAAAUGGGUUUAUUUAUCCGCCAUGACAGGAAGAAAUGAAUUUCAAGUGGGAAAACCUGUGGAAAGACCAACGUUUCCUUUCUUCGUCAUUUGCCGUGUCAUUUCUCUGUUCCUUGUGACAGAUGCCCGAGGAGCCAUUGAGGAAACGGGAGCUGACUUCAUUGUGAGCUGAUGAAAGAGACAGACCUUGGCCUCCCAGAAGGAGUGAUUCUAUGAGGCUACUUGAAGAGGGAUAGUACCAUACAGGUGUGACAGCCCGUCAGAAACACGACGCGUGCGUUUACACACACAAAUACACAAAUGAGGGACAAAACUCGCAAAGGACAGAGCUGCACUGGGCACCUGUGCCACUGUGAUACCGCUGCCCGGGAAAAGUGUGGGAGAUGUUUGGAACAUCUUAAUGGUUCCUCAAAACAUGGUUGUGUUUUGAUACGAUGCUACUGAGCUGUAGUGCUGGUGCUUUCUCUGCAGACUCAAAGUAAACGUGCUACUCUGAACUUUAGGAGCAUCUUUUGAGUUUUUAUAUCCUGAUGGCCCUUAUAAUAAAGUACUGUGGUGGUAUUGUGGUCCAGAGAUGGUGUGAGAUGCUAAUGUCAUGUGUUAUUUGAGUGUUCAAUUUAACUUUAGAGAACCCUUUUAAAAGCCUGUAGACUUUUUGAAAAUACUCUCAAUUCUGUAAUUAUAGUUUCCAUUAAUAAUAGUUAAUACAUAUAUUAUAAGAGUAUUUUGUAUUAAAUAAAUAAUUCUGUAUUUAAUUAUUAUUAAUAUUAUUUAUAAAGCCAUCUUCUAGCCACAGUGUUACAUAUAUGGCAUUACAUUAUAUACAAAUACAUUUUAAAAAAUCUGUAAUUAACACGUAUCACUUUCAAACAA